rnacentral:rRNA from 1 species
CCUACGGGUGGCUGCAGUGGGGAAUAUUGCACAAUGGGGGCAACCCUGACGCAGCAACGCCGCGUGAUUGAAGAAGGCCUUCGGGUUGUAAAGAUCUUUAAUCAGGGACGAAAUUUGACGGUACCUGAAGAAUAAGCUCCGGCUAACUACGUGCCAGCAGCCGCGGUAAUACGUAGGGAGCAAGCGUUAUCCGGAUUUACUGGGUGUAAAGGGCGAGUAGGCGGGCUGGUAAGUUGGAAGUGAAAUCCCAGGGCUUAACCCCGGAACUGCUUUCAAAACUGCUGGUCUUGAGUGAUGGAGAGGCAGGCGGAAUUCCCAGUGUAGCGGUGAAAUGCGUAGAUAUUGGGAGGAACACCAGUGGCGAAGGCGGCCUGCUGGACAUUAACUGACGCUGAGGAGCGAAAGCGUGGGGAGCAAACAGGAUUAGAUACCCCAGUAGUC